UUAAGCAUAUCAAUAAGCGGAGGAAAAGAAACUAACAAGGAUUCCCCUAGUAACUGCGAGUGAAGAGGGAAGAGCUCACAUUUAAAAUCUGGCGGUCUGGCGGCCGUCCGAGUUGUAGCCUGGAGAAGCGUCCUCUGCGCCGGACCCGUGUACAAGUCUCCUGGAACGGAGCGUCGUAGAGGGUGAUAAUCCCGUCGUCGACACGGACCUCCGGUUAGCUAUGCGAGGCGCUCUCGAAGAGUCGAGUUGUUUGGGAAUGCAGCUCAAAGUGGGUGGUGAAUUCCAUCUAAAGCUAAAUACAGGCGAGAGACCGAUAGCGGACAAGUACCGUGAGGGAAAGAUGAAAAGCACUCUGGAAAGAGAGUUAAACAGCACGUGAAAUCGCUGAGAGGGAAACGCUUGAAGUCAGUCGCGUCGGCGUUAGGAGGUCAGCCUUCCCGGGAUAAUAACCGUGGGGCGCACUCUCCCGUCGACGGGCCAGCAUCGAUUUCGACCGCCGGAGAAGGGCUCGGGGAACGUGGCACCUCCGGGUGUGUUAUAGCCCCCUGUCGUAUGCGGCGGUCGGGAUCGAGGUUUUUACAUGUUCGCAGCACGCCUUUUUGGCCGGGGCCGUUCGCGGUCCACGUCCGUGCUUAGGAUGCUGGCGUAAUGGCUUUAAACGACCCGUCUUGAAACACGGACCAAGGAGUCCAACUCGCCUGCGAGU
rnacentral:rRNA from 1 species